rnacentral:lncRNA from 10 species
AAUGGUGGCUUAUGCCUUUAAUCCCAGCACUUUAGGAGGUCAUCUUCCUUUGGCGGCAGAAGCUCCUAACGCAGCAACUUCCAAGCUCUGUAGUACAGUCUCCACAUGUGCUUGACCUGGGAGCAGCUGGCUCUCAUCUGUGUUUAGGGCCAAGCCUUCUUUACUUACUGCUGUCUUCCCACCAGAAGGUAGUGACAAAUAUAUCAAGGGUAGUGUCCUGCAUUUUGAUCCUUUUGAGUUAAUUCUCUGGAGGACUGACCAAGGAAAGGCCGAUUCCUUACCUUAUCACUGCACCUCAUGCUUUCCUGUUUUGAGAACACAAAGAAACGUUACUUAAGGGCCACACUCAAAGGACACCCUAGAAAUGAAAGCUCUGCAGUAAGGUUUGGAUUAUUCAAUUUGUAAACUGAGAAAGCAUGAUCCCUGUUUGGAAUAAAAUCAGCUGACAAUUCACUCCAGAAUGCAUGAUCACAAAGCCACGAUGUAAAGCAGACCAGGAGGUGGAAAGGGCAGAGAGGGGAUCUCAUUACUAAGAGUCCCACCACUCGGCCCCAGUGACCCAGGACUUUUAUCUGGCAUAUUUCUCAGCUUAGUUUUUUCAAGAUUUGGCCCAUAAAGUGUCUUUCCCCUUUAAUGGGGACAGGGAUCCAGAAUUUUCCCAAACUGCAACACUUCUAGGUUCUCUCCCUUUACUAUCUUUUCUACAGUGAAUUUUCCAUUUCAGUUCAGUCUUUCCUUCUAGUUCCAGCCUGUACAAGCAUAUCCCCUUUAAAGAGGAACAUAAGUCCAAGUGGACAAAGCAAAUAAAAUAAGGGUGGUCAUUAACAGUAGAUAGAAGAACAUUUCAUGAAAUAAUUUACCAGUGGUCUUUAAAUAAGUGGAAGCCUCCCCGCAGAAACUUUGUGAGCAUGGCCGGUACUUGUUCAUCUGAGCACCGUCUCAAAGGAAAACACCCAAAGGCCCUUCGAAAGCGUAUCACUUUCCUUUUGGAAGCCUAAAUAAAACUCACCUUUCUGGGGGAAAAAACACAACUGUAAAGUACAAAAACAUUUUAAAAGUUCACUUCAAAAGUAGUUUGAGCAAAUACAAGAGAUAUCUUGUAGCAUCCAUAUAUAACAUUUUAUUAAGAAAAUGAACAAAAUACAUUCUUUCUCCAUAUGUACAUUACAUACAACAUAAUUCUACAAUUGCCAUUUUUAGCAGAUCACUCAUUUAUUUAUUCACAAAGUAGAAUUAACACAUUUACCAAAGCUGGGAUCUGAAAAUUAUUUGUACUAUAAGAAAAAAAAAAUCCUAAAAAGUCCAUACAGAUUGGAUAAAAGAUAAGCCAGAGAUCAUGAGGGGAAUGGGGAAGAUUGCAGAACACGACAGAGCCCAACAAUGAUUUGAAACAAUUGAUGUCAGAAGAGAUCUGAUACCCAUAAAGCACUUCUGUUUAAAAGCUCCAACCAGCUCAUGCCAGCUUUCCAGAGUCCCAUGAUUUCCAUUUAAGACCAUGUGGAUACUUUAGGAUACGGCCCUGACCCCACAUUGCCACAGAAGAGGGGGUAAGAGUAGAACCAAACAAGUUAGCGGUUUUCUCCACACAUUGAGUCUCAUCUGAAAUACUACUGAGGUGCAAAAUGUGUGAAUCUCAGCUAAUGUGCACAGAAAUACAAUUUUUUUUGAGAGACAUUUGCUUAAACGUGGUAAAGAACUCUUGUUUUAUGGACUCCUUGCUUCAUGUUCAUUUUGUCUGUUUUUCUUUUGGCUUUUGACAAUAGCUCAUCCUUUUUGAGUGUGAGUUUAAUUAUGGCCAUAUUAAAAAGUCCAUCAUAAACAAAGACUCCUCCUCAUGGUAUGAAUAUGCUCCAUAUGCCCAUAAUGGUGCAUAACGGACUUAGAAAUUCCAAUGAGUCUUAGGGUUGAAAUUUCCAAUGACCUGAGCAAGGCAGCUCCCUAUAGCUUCUGGAUAACAUUUUACACCCAGAGUUCAGGCUUAAACAGACCUAUCAACACAAUUAUUUUCGGAUUGUCUGUCUAGAAAACGGCAAUGCUCAAAGGAAUAUAAAUAAGGGUGGGGGGACAUAUGCUUCCAGCCUGGUCCUUUCUCCAUGUGGUAAAAAACAAUGGAAUGGCUGUGUUAAUUUUUUUUUUAAUCUUUUCUGGCCUUUACUAUGUUUGGUAAUGGAAAUAAGUCAGGGAAAACAAAAUGAACAGGUCUCAUCACUUAAUUAAUACUGGUUUUUCUUCUUUAUACUUAGUAAUUUCCUAGUUUUUUAAAUGAUAAACCUAUUUUGACAAUCACUAACAUCAAUACAUUUUAUCGUAAGUCCCAUAUAAGAUAUUUAACAUUCUCCAACUUUCGGCUCAGCUGGUUACAGCACCACAUUUCCAGUCCAGGAGAUGUUUUCACAAACAGAAGGAGCGAUUCACAGCAUUAAUAAGCAGACUUGGAAAGACAGAUUUUAUUGGCUAUGGAGGAAGUUGUAUCUUUCUUCUCAAUCUAAUUUUCAGUCCAAUUUUGGUUUUGAGAAUCUAUCUCUAUCAGAGGGGAUCUUAAUUUCUGACUACUGAGUACUUCCAAUUUAUAAAAGAGCUGACUUUUAAAAAAUUCUAACAUCUUUCCCAAACUGUUUAGAAAUAUGCCAUAUUUGAAAGACGGAAUACUGUUUGUUCCCAAGACCAACACAAGAAAAGGAGGUCCUCAUCUUCGCUUUCCUGUACUCUUCCUCUGAGGCUAAUAACUCAACUGUACAUAGCUUUUGGAGUGGGAGCAAGAUAAGAAUCUCUUUAAAAAGAGCAUUUUAAAAAUGUAUGUGUAUGUGUAUGUAUGUAUAUUUAUAAAGUAUGUACGCAUAAAGGAAUCUGUUCACAGGAAAAUGUUACAUUAUUUUCAACUCUAAAUUAUGCAGAAGACUAUACAAAGUAGUUAAUUAAUACUAUACUAUCUACUUUCUUUUCAAAAGACAUUUCACACAAAUCCAAAAAGUAAGCCGGCUUAAAGAAUAAGACAAUCAUAACACCUCUUGCCCAGGCUAAUUGUAAUGCUUAGGAAAGGAAGUCCACUUUUAUUUUUCUGAACGGAUGAUUUGUAAGUAAGGAAGAAAAUUGUUUACAAUUGAUCAGUCACCAAAAUAAUUUUUUUUUCUGGGAAAGGAAAAAAAAUCCCAAGAAAAAGAUCAGUACAUGACUCUUUAAUAAAUUUAUCUUCCCCCACGGAAGACUACUCCUAAGUAACCUUUUGGACUUUGAUAUCUUAUUAAAUUUGGGAGUGAGUUGAUAAUUACUUGGUAUUAUUUAUAACUUGGUAUUAUUUGAGGCAACACACUACAGCUGUCACUUGCAAACACCUGAUGGCAUGGCUCUAAUGGUGUAGGAUCCUCUCCUUUGUUGUAACUGAAUUUAUAAAGAUUUAUAAAGCUCUGCCAGUUGCAAUGGGAUUGGGAUUUAUUCUACACGCCUCCUCUAAUUUAAUCAAUCACUUUACAGAUGUGGAGGAAACCUAAAUAAAAAACCAAAAUUAUGAAAUACUUCUAAUGCCAAACCCAGAUCUCAUUAUUGCUUGGCAAAGCAGAAUUAACAGAGACCCUUGGGAUGACAUAUAAUUAAUUUAAGGCAAGGAAACUAGUAUCAGUUCAAUUCUGUGUUACAAGUUAUACAUGAAAUGACAAUUUUCCUCCUAUGUUAAAGGGCUAGAAAAUAAAACCAACCAAAUGACAUGAGCUAAACUGUAACAAAGGCUUUCUUGAGAUUUGUUAACAACGGAGAAAUAAAGCUCAAAAUUGGC